UACGUAGGGUGCAAGCGUUAAUCGGAAUUACUGGGCGUAAAGCGUGCGCAGGCGGUGAUGUAAGUCAGUUGUGAAAUCCCCGGGCUCAACCUGGGAACUGCAUCUGUGACUGCAUUGCUGGAGUGCGGCAGAGGGGGAUGGAAUUCCGCGUGUAGCAGUGAAAUGCGUAGAUAUGCGGAGGAACACCGAUGGCGAAGGCAAUCCCCUGGGCCUGCACUGACGCUCAUGCACGAAAGCGUGGGGAGCAAACAGG
rnacentral:rRNA from 1 species